AUACAGAGGUGGCAAGCGUUGUUCGGUAUCACUGGGCUUAAGGGCGCGUAGGCGGCGCAGAACGGUCCGGGUGAAAUCCCACGGCUCAACCGUGGAAUGGCCUGGGCUACGGCUGUGCUAGACAGCAUCAGGGGAAGGUGGAACUCCGGGUGGAGCGGUGAAAUGCGUAGAUAUCCGGAGGAACGCCGGUGGCGAAAGCGACCUUCUGGGGUGCUUGUGACGCUGAGGCGCGAAAGCUAGGGGAGCGAACGGGAUUAGAAACCCCAGUAGUCC
rnacentral:rRNA from 1 species